rnacentral:rRNA from 1 species
GAUUGAACGCUGGCGGUAUGCUUAACACAUGCAAGUCGAACGGAAACGAUACUAGCUUGCUAGUAGGCGUCGAGUGGCGGACGGGUGAGUAACGCGUAGGAAUCUGCCUGAUAGUGGGGGAUAGCCCGAAGAAAUUCGGAUUAAUACCGCAUAAUCUAUUCGUAGUAAAGUGGGGGACUUUCGAGCCUCACGCUAUCAGAUGAGCCUGCGUAAGAUUAGCUUGUUGGUAGGGUAAAAGCCUACCAAGGCGACGAUCUUUAGCUGGUCUGAGAGGAUGAUCAGCCACAUCGGGACUGAGACACGGCCCGAACUCCUACGGGAGGCAGCAGUGGGGAAUAUUGGACAAUGGGGGCAACCCUGAUCCAGCAAUACCGCGUGUGUGAAGAAGGCCUGAGGGUUGUAAAGCACUUUCAAUUGUGAAGAAAAGUUAGCGGUUAAUAACCGUUAGCCUUGACGUUAACUUUAGAAGAAGCACCGGCUAACUCCGUGCCAGCAGCCGCGGUAAUACGGAGGGUGCAAGCGUUAAUCGGAAUUACUGGGCGUAAAGCGUGCGUAGGCGGUUUAUUAAGUCAGAUGUGAAAGCCCCGGGCUUAACCUGGGAACUGCAUUUGAAACUGGUCAACUAGAGUAUGGUAGAGGAAAGUGGAAUUUCUGGUGUAGCGGUGAAAUGCGUAGAUAUCAGAAGGAACAUCAAUGGCGAAGGCAGCUUUCUGGACCAAUACUGACGCUGAGGUACGAAAGCGUGGGUAGCAAACAGGAUUAGAUACCCUGGUAGUCCACGCCGUAAACGAUGGUAACUAGCCGUUGGGGGGAUUUACCCUUUAGUGGCGAAGCUAACGCGUUAAGUUAUCCGCCUGGGGAGUACGGCCGCAAGGUUAAAACUCAAAGGAAUUGACGGGGACCCGCACAAGCGGUGGAGCAUGUGGUUUAAUUCGAUGCAACGCGAAGAACCUUACCUGGUCUUGACAUCCUGCGAACUUUCUAGAAAUAGAUUGGUGCCUUCGGGAACGCAGUGACAGGUGCUGCAUGGCUGUCGUCAGCUCGUGUCGUGAGAUGUUGGGUUAAGUCCCGUAACGAGCGCAACCCCUAUCCUUAUUUGCCAGCACAUCAUGGUGGGAACUAUAAGGAGACUGCCGGUGAUAAACCGGAGGAAGGCGGGGACGACGUCAAGUCAUCAUGGCCCUUACGACCAGGGCUACACACGUGCUACAAUGGGAAGGACAAAGAGCCGCGAAGCCGCGAGGUGUAGCUAAUCUCAUAAACCUUUUCGUAGUCCGGAUUGGAGUCUGCAACUCGACUCCAUGAAGUCGGAAUCGCUAGUAAUCGUAGAUCAGAAUGCUACGGUGAAUACGUUCCCGGGUCUUGUACACACCGC